rnacentral:rRNA from 1 species
UACGUAGGGCGCAAGCGUUGUCCGGAAUCACUGGGCGUAAAGGGUGCGUAGGCGGGUUUUUAAGUCAGGGGUGAAAUCCUGGAGCUCAACUCCAGAACUGCCUUUGAUACUGAAGAUCUUGAGUUCGGGAGAGGUGAGUGGAACUGCGAGUGUAGAGGUGAAAUUCGUAGAUAUUCGCAAGAACACCAGUGGCGAAGGCGGCUCACUGGCCCGAUACUGACGCUGAGGCACGAAAGCGUGGGGAGCAAACAGGG